rnacentral:lncRNA from 1 species
CCCUAUACUAUGAUAAUGAUGAUACGGUAUGGAAGACCAGUGAGGUCCAUUCUACGCCCCUGGCACUAUGUAAGAGAAAGACCAGUGAGGCCCAUUCUACGCCCCUGGCACAGUUGGACCAUGUUAUGUUAUGUUAUGUAAGAGAAAGACCAGUGAGGCCCAUUCUACGCUCCUGGCACAGUUGGACCAUGUAGGGGACUAUUGGUGACAAAUUCAUCCUUGAUGUGAUUAGCUGUGUUGUGAUGCAUUCCAUGUUAUCAUAUGUUUUAAAUUGUUUUAUUAUUCUGCUCACUGGGCU